rnacentral:lncRNA from 1 species
GCUGGAAGCUCCUGCGCGCGCGCAAGAUACACUAGUGCGCGCGCGCCCUUGCGCGCGCAGGUCUGCACGCUCAUGCGCGCUGCGUCCUUUUGGCUCACUGCCAUGCGCGCCUGCGCCACGUCUCCUGUGAGCCUAUACGAGAACGCCACACAGUCGCGCCGUAUUGGCUCACUCUGGUGCGCCGCGCAAGACACAUCAGGACCCAUGCACCAUGCGCGCAACCGCACGCCUUCAUGCCACAUGUACUCGCGCGCGGACUGCCACGUCACGCGCCUCGAAUCCGCAUGCCACUUCAACCACUUGGCCCUUGCAGCCCCUGUGAUCCACCACGCGCACGUGGUAAAAAAUACAAAGGCGGCUCGCGGCGAUGCGAGUGUGCGAAGUGCGCCAUCAAAGCGCCACAUUGCGCCUCAUCGCCCACGCCACGCGCGCGCGCGCGAGUGCGAGUGCGUGUUAGGGUGCUCCGCACCCUUCGCGAG